rnacentral:tRNA from 1 species
UAAAUUGAACCCAGUUGUUUAGGGAAAUUACCUGUUAACUAAUUUUUCGGGGGUUGGUAUCCCACCAAUCUAA